rnacentral:rRNA from 1 species
UAAACCUCCCCAAAACCCCCUGUGAACAUACCUAUACGUUGCCUCGGCGGAUCAGCCCGCGCCCCGUAAAAAGGGACGGCCCGCCCGAGGACCCCUAAACUCUGUUUUUAGUGGAACUUCUGAGUAAAACAAACAAAUAAAUCAAAACUUUCAACAACGGAUCUCUUGGUUCUGGCAUCGAUGAAGAACGCAGCAAAAUGCGAUAAGUAAUGUGAAUUGCAGAAUUCAGUGAAUCAUCGAAUCUUUGAACGCACAUUGCGCCCGCCAGUAUUCUGGCGGGCAUGCCUGUUCGAGCGUCAUUUCAACCCUCAAGCUCAGCUUGGUGUUGGGACUCGCGGUAACCCGCGUUCCCCAAAUCGAUUGGCGGUCACGUCGAGCUUCCAUAGCGUAGUAAUCAUACACCUCGUUACUGGUAAUCGUCGCGGCCACGCCGUAAAACCCCAACUUCUGAAUGUUGACCUCGGAUCAGGUAGGAAUACCCGCUGAACUUAAGCAUAUCAAUAAGCGGAGGAA